UACGGAAGAUCCAAGCGUCAUCCGGAAUUACUGGGCGUAAAGAGUUGCGUAGGUGGCAGGUAAAGCGAACAGUGAAAGGUCCCGGCUCAACCGGGGAUACAUUGUUCGAACUCACCAGCUAGAGCAUGAGAGAGGUAGAUGGAAUUUCUAGUGUAGGAGUGAAAUCCGUAGAUAUUAGAAGGAACACCGAUGGCGUAGGCAGUCUACUGGCUCAUUGCUGACACUAAGGCACGAAAGCGUGGGGAGCGAACGGG
rnacentral:rRNA from 1 species